UGGGGAAUAUUGCACAAUGGGGGAAACCCUGAUGCAGCGACGCCGCGUGAGCGAAGAAGGCUUUCGAGUCGUAAAGCUCUGUCCUAUGAGAAGAUAAUGACGGUAUCAUAGGAGGAAGCCCUGGCUAAAUACGUGCCAGCAGCCGCGGUAAUACGUAUGGGGCGAGCGUUGUCCGGAAUUAUUGGGCGUAAAGGGUACGUAGGCGGAUAAGCAAGUUAGAAGUGAAAUCCUAUAGCUCAACUAUAGUAAGCUUUUAAAACUGCUCAUCUUGAGGUAUGGAGGGGAAAGUGGAAUUCCUAGUGUAGCGGUGAAAUGCGCAGAUAUUAGGAGGAAUACCGGUGGCGAAGGCGACUUUCUGGACAUAAGCUGACACUGAGGUACGAAAGCGUGGGUAGCAAACAGG
rnacentral:rRNA from 1 species